rnacentral:rRNA from 1 species
GACGAACGCUGGCGGCGUGCUUAACACAUGCAAGUCGAACGGAAAGGCCUGCUUUCCCUUGUGGAUUGCGGGUACUCGAGUGGCGAACGGGUGAGUAACACGUGAGUGAUCUGCCCCCAACUUGGGUAUAAGCCUGGGAAACUGGGUCUAAUUCCCGAUAGGACUGCAGGGUGGUGCCUGUGGUGGAAAACGAUUUUCUAGUGGUUGGGGAUGAGCUCGCGGCCUAUCAGCUUGUUGGUGGGGUAAUGGCCUACCAAGGCGGCGACGGGUAGCCGACCUGAGAGGGUGGACGGCCACAUUGGGACUGAGAUACGGCCCAGACUCCUACGGGAGGCAGCAGUGGGGAAGAGUGCACAAUGGGCGGAAGCCUGAUGCAGCGACGCCGCGUGGGGGAUGACGGCCUUCGGGUUGUAAACUCCUUUCGACCGCGAGGAAGCCACCUGGUUGGAAGGGUGGUGACGGUAGUGGUAGAAGAAGCACCGGCUAACUACGUG